UACGAAGGGGGCUAGCGUUGCUCGGAAUCACUGGGCGUAAAGGGUGCGUAGGCGGGUCUUUAAGUCAGGGGUGAAAUCCUGGAGCUCAACUCCAGAACUGCCUUUGAUACUGAGGAUCUUGAGUUCGGGAGAGGUGAGUGGAACUGCGAGUGUAGAGGUGAAAUUCGUAGAUAUUCGCAAGAACACCAGUGGCGAAGGCGGCCUGCUGGGCUGUUGCUGACGCUGAGGCGCGACAGCGUGGGGAGCAAACAGG
rnacentral:rRNA from 1 species